UAGGCCCUAGUAUAAACACUACGUGACCCUGUCAGCAUCAAAAUAUAGGAUUCAAGCCUAUGAGCCUAA
rnacentral:tRNA from 1 species